UAGUCCACGCUGUAAACGAUGUUCACUCGCUGUCGGCGAUACACAGUCGGCGGCUGAGCGAAAGCAUUAAGUGAACCACCUGGGGAGUACGAUCGCAAGGUUGAAACUCAAAGGAAUUGACGGGGGGCCCGCGACAAGCGGAGGAACAUGUGGUUUAAUUCGAUUGAUACGCGAGGAACCUUACCUGGGCUUAAAUGUAGAUUGCAUAAUUUAGAAAUUAGAUUUUCCCUUCGGGGCUAUUUACAAGGUGCUGCAUGGUUGUCGUCAGCUCGUGCCGUGAGGUGUCGGGUUAAGUCCCAUAACGAGCGCAACCCCUAUCGUUAGUUGCUAGCAGGUAAUGCUGAGGACUCUAGCGAGACUGCCACCGUAAGGUGAGAGGAAGGUGGGGAUGACGUCAAAUCAGCACGGGCCCUUAGUGUCC
rnacentral:rRNA from 1 species